AAACCCUCAAGCACUGCUUGGUGAUGGGCGUCUGUCCCGCCUCUGCGCGCGGACUCGCCCCAAAGGCAUUGGCAGCGGUCCCGUCCGCCUCUCGCGCAGCACAGAUGCGCUUCUCGAGGCUUCGGGCCCGCGUCCAUGAAGCUCAUUUACCAC
rnacentral:misc_RNA from 1 species